rnacentral:rRNA from 1 species
CCUACGGGUGGUAGCAGUGAGGAAUAUUGGUCAAUGGACGAGAGUCUGAACCAGCCACGUAGCGUGAAGGAUGACUGCCCUAUGGGUUGUAAACUUCUUUUAUAUGGGAAUAAAAUGUUCCACGUGUGGGAUUUUGUAUGUCUCAUAUGAAUAAGGAUCGGCUAACUCUGUGCCAGCAGCAGCGGUAAUACGGAGGAGCCGAGCGUUAUCCGGAUUUAUUGGGUUUUAAGGGAGCGUAGGUGGAUUGUUAAGUCAGUUGUGAAAGUUUGCGGCUCAACCGUAGAAUUGCAGUUGAAACUGGCAGGCUUGAGUACAGUAGAGGCGGGCGGAAUUCGUGGUGUAGCGGUGAAAUGCUUAGAUAUCACGAAGAACUCCGAUUGCGAAGGCAGUUCACUGGACUGCAACUGACACUGAGGCUCGAAAGUGUGGGUAUCAAACAGGAUUAGAUACCCCUGUAGUC